UAUAUAUAUAUAUAUAUAUAAUGCAUUGCAGUUCUUUACAGCGACUGAAAGGGAAAUGUGAAGUUGAAAAACCAGGCUACUGACUUCAGCUCCGUUUCAGUUCCUGUCUCUAGUACAGUAAGGUUUGGCUGAAGAUGAGAAGCUGGAACACUGCACGCUGGUCCCAGCCUCUGUUACUUUCAAUUCUGUACUGACAUUUGGCCAUCAGACUAUUGAGGUGGGUUUGGGGCUUUAAAUGCAAGGCCAUGAAAAGGUGCUAAGUGUCUGCACAUUGCUGGAUUGCAUCCUAGUACCCUGGGCCUGCUUGGGAGAGACUUUUACUUUUCCUCUAAACUCCACAGGAUCACGUAACUCAGGAUAACUCCAGAUUUUGUCUCUUCUGAGCAUGCCGGUUAGAAUUGAUAUGUAAAACCUUAAACACUCUGGAGCUCAACCAAUUAAGAACGAUAAUUACGAACUGGGUUGUAGUGAACUCCUAUUCACUUGCAGCAUUCUGCAGUCUAAAGUUUCUUCAGAGCAGAUGCAGGGAUAACACACCGGGGUGGGAACACUUCCUUUUUAAAUUACUAAGCAGCAUUAUUGUCUUAAAUGUAAAUUAGAUAAUUAGUGAGGUCAAGAGACCACACAAAAGAUUUUAUUGGUUUGAAUAAAAUGCAGCCUGGCAUCAACUCGUAUAGUAACAACCAGGUUUUCUGAGUAAGUAUGAAUCACCAGAUUAGAUGUAAUUUCACCUUGUGUCUCACUCAUGAAUCUACUGUGUUUCCAAUUUAUUAUAGGGCUGUAAUUAUUUAAAUGCAUCUUUGCUUGCUAUAGAUACAGUAUUACCUAUCCCAUUUCUACAUAAGGGUUUGGUUUGGUUUUCAUUUCUGCUCCGUCUUCAUUCUAUGCCUGAAUUUUCUUUGACUUUUCUCUCCUUAGUGCUUUGUUUCUUCUUUUCUCAUGGGGGUUUGCUUAGAAGUUAUGCAGACUCUUAAACAAUGUAAAGACAUGAAUUUAACAGAUUGUAAAUUACAAAGCUUGAGUUGCCUUUUUGGCUAUUGCCCAUGUGUUUUGGCUUUUACUACCUGUUUGGCAUGCACUACUUUUUCAUUCAGAUGUAAGCAGCACUACUGAAGUGAAAAGGCUGUGGCUGUGUGUUAAUAGUAAUGCUUCAGGUGUUCACUCACUGAAUUCUUGCGGUAGGGGCUGUAGAUCCUCUCAUCAAAAAGAAACUAUUACUUUCCCGAUUAUAUUCAGAGUAGAUAAGACAAAUGACGAGAGUAAAGAUGAUCCGGAUCGUGCACAAGGGGAGCAUGGGUAUUGGGAAGAUGAGGUGAUAACAUGUGCAAAGUUUAUAGUGAGUUGGAAAUUGAACCCAAGUCACCUCGUUCCCGUUUCAGCACAUUACAAGUCAGGAUUACCUCCCAUUGCCAUGGCAGGUAUAUUCCUUCAGGUUUCCCCACCCUCCAUUUUGUAUUGGCAGGGUUGCUGCAGACUGCUUUAAAUAACAGCAUGUAAAUUUUUACCUGAAGAGAUCAUGGAAAAUUUUAAAUAGAUCCUUAUUUUCUGGGCAAUGUGGUUAGAAAAGCAUUGUCUCUCCUUUAUUUACACAUGAGAGACAGGGCUCCUGCCAGCCAGCCACGGGAGCAGCAGCCUCUCACAAGCGCAGUGCCCGGUGAGGUGUGUAAAGCAGCAGAGCUGGGAGAGAAGGCAGGGAGGACUGGCUCUGCCAGUAGGGAGAGGCAGCUGAAUAAACCGAGUGCUUUGUGCCAUGGCAGGACUUGAAUCAUGGGCCACGCAAAGCAGACACAGGCACAGAGCGCAGUUAGCACCCACCGGUUAUUAAGAAAUAUCUGCCCACAGAUACGAGGGGGGCAGAGUUGGUUUUUGUUUCAUUCUUCCCAGUCCGUGAGGUUGCAGCUUCCUGCUCUUACAUGGACCAUGCCCCUCUCAGGCUAGACGUGUGGCACGAGGCUGAUGUGAAGCCUCAGCUGUUUUCAUUCCUCUCCAGAGCAGUACAGCACCUAGCUUUAGCAGGUGUGCGGGAUGUCCUUGUCACAGUGGGUGUUUGGUGCACUUGAUGAGAUAGGCAAAUGUUAUUAUCUUGCAUUUUAUAGACAGUUAUUGCAGCACAGAGUAAACAAGCGCCAGAGCCUCCAAGGUACUUUGAUGCCUGACUCUAAAUGGUUUCAGGGUCAUGCAGGCCCAGCAUAUUUCUGUGGCUCGAGGCCGAGGUGCAUCUGUGCAUUGACACUGGCUGCGUAGACUGUCACAGGCAGUGCAGGGAUUGCUGGUCCCUGGCUGGUGGCUUAACCGCUGGACCAGGCUGCCUUUCCUAAUCUUUUGUUCAGAUCUCUGCUUCCAACCUGUCUGUUCUGCAGGAUGAAAACCACUGUGGUUUUAUGCUGAAGCAGUACCUCCAAGCCUCAAAAGAUUCAGUGCUCCUUGGGUACGGGAGGUCUGCCUUGUUGAACCUAAGCCUUGUGGGAACAUGAAGCCCGAGUUACAGUGCUAGGUGAGCAAUAUUCAGCACACAGCCACCCCAAACCACUUCACUGCCUAAAUACUGUGCUGUGGGAUCGCCGUGUAAAUAGCACAAAUAGCCAGCAAAUGUGGCAUUUUCAGGCGGUGUUUUGCAGGAAGAUCUUCAGGAAAGGACUGACACAUUAAAUACUGAAGUAAAGACAGAAGUGUUUCUACAAACUGUUUCAUCAUUAAUACAUGUACAUAUUACAUAUGAAUAUAUAUAUAUGUAUGUGUGUGUGUAUAUGUGUGUAAAACCAGAGUUUAAUAAGGGCAAAGAUGAAUUCUAGGUAAUUAGCAGACCAGAUUUUGCCUGGGUUAGAGAAUUCUUAUGAAGAUGUGUGCUAAAUUUUCUGUUUGUUGCCAUGUGAUUGACUUUAAAAAGUGAGCAAAGUUAUCAUUCCCUCACUUUGACUCUGCCUGUGAAUUAGAAAAGACAAAUGGUAGAUAUUUUUGUUGGGGAUUUAGAAAAAAAAAGAAAAAGCCAACAGGGCACAGAGUAUCUCUGUUCCCUCCCACUGCAAGGUUUAUUGAUGCUGUCUGCAGAUUUGUGUUUGCUUUACUGCUGGUAGUUAGAGCUGGUGAUCAAAGGCUAGUAUAGCCGAACCCAUGAAGGGACAUAAUUGGUUGGACUCUUUGAGUCCUCUGUAACAAUACUCAGUUUUGUUGUGUUAGGCAGGGCUCCACAAAGUAUAAAACAUUGUAUGAUUGCUGGGGCAGUCGCUCAAAUGUUUUCUUCUCGUCUCAAUUCCUUUUAUACAGGAAACCAAUAUAGCUGGGAGCCCAGGGAUGAAAGCUUUAAACCUGGAGGGUGCCUGGUGCUUCCUGAGAAUCUCACAGGGGAAACGUUCAGUCCCAAAACAGCUUCGCUGACAGAUAUAUUUUUUAUAGCCUAUUAUUUUCUCUCCUCAUUCUUUGUUUCAUUUGAAUAUAAUAGGCUCUUUAUUUUUAACUGCUCGUCUGUUCCUGCCGUUUAUAUCCUCACCCAAAUAUCAUAAUUCUUGUUUCUUUUCUUUCUUUCUUUUGUUUUGUUUUGUUUUUGACAUCACAUUUGGUUACUGUUGAACAUAUGUGCUACAAUGCCUGUAUAGAAGGGACAUUGUUUAUUUUUCUGAGUAAUAAAUUUUCUAUUUUCCUCUCUGUCUUUUCAAAAGAAUCCCAUAUUUCAAUUUGAACCAAAGGAUAUAGCCCUAUUUAUAGGUUUUGAAUUUUGGCAGUGAUGUAAGUGUGUUAUGUGGUUGUAUGACUUCAUGAGAGGGAAGAAAAAAAGGAAUUGUAGAUGAAUAUGUGAAAGUGUCAUUUUCCUUUUUAUUUCUCUAAUACAUGAGGUGGAGAAAAUAGUUAUGAUGCUGCUUCUCCUGGCUGUAGCUGGUGUAUUCUCAGGGGACCACUCCAGGGUUCCAGCAAAGAAGCUGGCCAUGUCCUUGAGCUACUGAUGCAAUUUUACAGUGGAUUCAAACAUGAGCAGACUCAAAUGCAGGGUCAUCUGAGGCAGUCACUACCCACGCUUACACAGAUGACGUUUUGGGCAGAGUGUGCAUCACGUCAGCAUUUUGAGCAGUGUGCAUCUCUGCAGAAGUGGUGCAGGUCUGUUGAGCUGCCCAGCCGGCGUGGCUCGGCCAGGAGAGUCGUGGGUCUGAAGCAUCAUGCAGCUCUUCCUCUCCAUCACGUAAGGCAGGGGCCUUGCCAGCUCUGUUUACACUGGCAUCUCCUGGGCAGUUUUCCCAUUCUGCUUCAGCUGCUUCCCUCAGCACAGCCUAUUAUGGGCUUACUUCUGCACUGAAGUAAAGUAUAAAGAGGAAUGAUAACAUUUAGCUGCCCCACUGGUUCGUGCGCUGGUGUUCACCACAGCUUUUGAGGAUCCCUCCUCCUUCAGAUGUGUUCACUCAGUCACGCUGCUGGAGAAUUAUGAAGUUGGGAGGAAUCUUGGUAGUCCUCAGUUGUUACAGUGCUGUAAGGAUGUACAACUUGGCCUACUGGCAUUCUUUGCAGUGACAUUCUCUUUCAGACCAGUAAGACAAUGAAGGCAACAGUUGUAUGCUUGCUCAGUAAGCAGGGAAGAAGACUUUUAAGGCAUCCUUAUAAGGUGGAGGCAUGUAUCGUGUAAUAAAAUGAUUCAGAGGAGCAUUUCAUCACUUUGAUUAGGGAGGUUACUGCCAGAGUAAACUGAAAUUGGAGGUGGUUUAUGUUAAUGCUGCAGCCUGCAGACUGCACUUGCUCAGGAGUUUAUCCAGCAGGAUCAGCUGAUCCCGCUACAGGAUGGUGACCUCUGGCAGAGACACAGGACAGAGACAGCUGCUUCAGCUCUCCCAACUAAACCUGCUUAAGGCGACCCUGCUGUCUCUGAUCUUGAAGCGCUUUGCAAGCAUGAGUAAGCACAGCUCCACACGAGCCCGGUGAUGAGGCAAUACAGCGGUUCCCAUAGUACGAGCGGUAAAUCUGAGAUGCAAAGACCUGCCAAAAGGAAGCCUGUGGCUACACCUGCAUCGUAUCUGAACUGAUCUUGGGAGCGGUCUGGAGUCUGCAGUGCUCAUCAUGGCUUUGCUGCACUGAGUACAGGUUGCCUGUGAGUUCUACUUCCUGCAAGCUAUGGUGACAACAGUUUAUGAAAGACCCUUCCUUUGCUGUGAGGACAGACGGGAUACGUGGAAAUGAACAUACCAGACGAUGGGAGGCCAUGGCUGCUGGAGGGAGCCCCUCUGCAGGCUGAAACAAGGAAGUACUGGAAAAAACAUGAAAGAAGCUGAUGCCUUGUUGUUCUCAGGCCGAAGCCCUGAAUAUUAACCAGAUAUUGCAAAAGUUUCCUCAGAAGCCUCAUGGAAGAUUCAUAAUUCCCAGGAACUGGAAUUUCUUAGAAAAAGAUGCAGCUGAAUAUUGGAAGUUAUAUGACAAAACUUAAAUUUCAUCAUGUCUUGUUUACACAAGGACUCAGAUUGUGAAGCCUUCCUAGCAAGAUCCAUAUGCGAGUUCCUGGGGAUAUCAGAAAGUAAAGGUCAUGAGACUUGAAGCAAAACUUUCAAAUACUUUAGUAUUUUCUGAUAUUAUUUAUUACUAGAUUUUGUAAGCUGCCUUUUCCUGCAAAUAAGACACUGUCAUUUAUGCAUGUACUGCCAUGUGUCAUGAGCUUGGUUCUUCUGUACAUGAUCAAAUAAUGUUCCUGCAAGGAUUGCUCAUUUUCAUUAUUCCAGUUCUUUGAUGGGGAGGGUCUUUCUGUGUGACUUUGAGCCUCUUAAGUCCCUUUUGUUUUCUUCACUGAAGGCUAGCAGGGAUGCUAAAACAAGGGUGUAACUAUUCAUAUGUUUAAAUGGGGAAAAAAAGUUUAAUUUUUAAUAAAUCUCCUCAGAGACUGCUACUCCUCUGCCUAGCCAAGUGGUAGGCUUUCCCCAGAAAUGGUAGCUCUUCCAAGGUAAUGGUAGGUUUAUUGUGAUAAUGUGGGGCUGGAUUCAGAGUAGCCUCUGAACAGAAUCCUGCUGGUGCUAGUGGAAUCGGCUCCUUUUUCUGCAUGGGAGGCAAGGAGGAGAAGGAAAGGGCAUGGGAUCAAGGACAAAGCAGGAGGAGUCAAGUAGCACAUAACAGGACUGAACUUGGCCCAGAAACAGAAAUGUGAACCAGGACUCUCCUAAACACUCUGUCAAUGUUGUUUACGUGUGUAGGAGCUCAGGUACAGGAGCAGUGUCCUUUCUGUACAGGGGGCUACAAUAUACUUCCUAUAAGAGUUGAGGUAGAAAUGAAAGUGUAGUUUGCCCACACUACUGCUAAAAUAACUCUGCAAUAAAGGAGUCAGGGGGGCAAGGAGGACCUGAAUGAAAAUGAGCUGGUUGUUGAUUAGAACAUAAGUAGUGGGAUGUGAAUAAACCAGAAUGCUGCAUAAAACAACGAAUGCCACCAAGUGCACAAGAAAGACUGCAGUGUUGAUGGCACAACACAAUUGCAUUGUGUCUAGCAGAUGCCUGCUAUCCUACCACCUGAUGUAAAAUCUGAGAAGAGAUGAAAGGAUGGUGUCAGUAAGUGUUCUUUUUAGGAAAGUAAGACUAAUACUGAGUUAUUUACAUCUAUUUAAUGUAAUUUCCAAAAUAUAUUGUGUGUCUUGUAAGAUGAUAUGAGACAAAAGAAUAAAUCCAGCUUUUAAGCCUAAAAGAUUAAAAUGCUGUUUCUUCUGACCUUUUCUAGCUCUUCAACGUGUAUGUUACAUCGCUGAACACCAGGACCUGACCAAAUCCUCUUCAUGUCAGUGGGGGUGACUUCUGUUGACUUGACUGAAGUUUCUACAGGAGUGUGCCUGAUAGGAAUCAAGACAUUACCCACCAACUUUUAAACAUUCAUGUAUCAACCUGAAUUCUGAUCCUCGUUUUUAUCCUUUCAUGUCACAUACAAUAAUGCUGAGUGACUACUGUAUGCCCCAUCUGCAAGUGCUGUAGUUUGUUCUUAAUGGUUCUUCUAGUCUGUGCAAUGAUUUAUUAAGGUAUGUUCCACAUUGGAGAGAUUACAGAUCAGAAGUAGUCUGAUUAAAAUAUUUGGCAGGCUAUGUUUGCUUGAAGAUAUAUUAAGAGAAUGAUCUAAAACCCAAAAAUCACAACUCACUGUAAUGAGUAAAAUAGUUUUUCUUCUGAAGUUUCUAAGAACUUUGUCUAAGUUAUCCAUUUAACAUCUUCAAAGAUUUAAGAAAUUACAUAAACUCCUGGGUAUUUUCCCUUACAGCAAAUUCUAUGGUAAAUGAAUUCCAAAUAAAUCCUUCCUGUUUUUCCAUAUUUUGUUGUGUGUUAAGAUGAUAGCUAGCAUAUAAUGAUGCAUAGUUUGCUCUGUGGCUCGUUUACCUCUAAGAGAUAAGCUGACAUGAAAUUAAAACUGUAGCAAAACCUGAUAACCUAGAUGCAAAAUACUGCUCUUCAAAAAAUUAUGAAAGAUGCUAAUAACUUGGUCUGUAUCUGUAUGUAUAUCUGUACCCACCUGAAUUUAGGUGGCAUCAAGGCCACCUAAAAUUAUAAAGAGCUCUGAGUUGACUCAAGAUAUUUACCCAACUGCCCUUAAACUUGCGUUGCCUAGAUUCAGUGCAACAAACCUUGGAGCGUAUGGUCAUAGUUUAAAAGACUUCUGCAGUUCAUCAAGAAGCCAAGGCUUUGGCCAUGUGUCCUCAGAUGACUGAUUAAUCAUAUUUGUACACCUCUACAGAAAAAAAAAAUGAGUUUGUAUAGAGCACUAUGUAAAUAUUAAGUUUUAUGGUUAUUAUCUUUUCCUGACCAAAGUAAUCUGUUAAACUGUUAAAUUUACUAUUGAAUGUAUUUAGCAGGCACUCUAGAUCAGUGCUUGGGGGGGUCCCCUCCUCUGCAGCAUCUGAGGUCUUCACGUUACUUUAGAGAUCCUUCAAAUCUGGAACACGGUAUGGUCCUUUUUUAAGGGGAAGAGCUGAGAUUCGGUGUGCAUGCUAACCCAGCAUUAGUGCUGCUGUUUUAUGCUUUGCAGCAGGUACCUGGAGCUGCCCUGGGGUCCCUGUGCUGCACCCUGGUCUCCAGCAGGGCUGGCUGUAGGUGAAUUGACCAUGGUUGCAGAGGGGCACUGGGUGGAGAAUGCUUGUGGGGAAGCUUUGAUCUUUUCUCCUGAAGUAUGGCAUAGACUGACCCCACUAGGCAUCCACCAAGCCUGGAGGAGAGUCUUCCAGGUUAAACAUGGCUUACAAACUUGGUUUUGUUUGGGCUGGUAGCAAGGUUGGGAUGUUGUGGGCUGCCUGCCUGCAUGGGCUAAGAGGGCCUGGGGUGUGUUUGUUGGCCAUGUGCCUCCUCCCUGGCUGCUGGGGGCUUUUCAGGGAGUGAUGCUCCCAGCAGAGCCACUCUUGCACCUGCCUUGCCCUGGAACCAGGCAUUUCUGUCCUGUCUCAAUAGUCCUUGGUUUAAUAUGGUUGGCAAGUGUUUACAGAUUAUACCCUCUACUUAAUAGGUUUCUGUGACAGCUGUUUUGUCCAGCUAUCGUACUGAUGUAAAUGUUUUCACCCAAUGAUCCUUGGAUACCUACUAAUAUACUACACUUUCUCAUGUGUUUGAUGAUUGCUGUUUAUUUGCCUGAGAAACUUGCUGGAUUCAUAAAGCAUAUUUUUUCCACUCUGCUUCUGUUUCAGGGUAAUGUUUAAUCCCUUACCUGAAACAGCUUUUUCAUUCUCUUUGCUAUAAUAAAUUACUAAAUGGAAAGAAAUGGAUCUAAGCUCCGUUAGCUUAAACUCGACGAGCUUUUGUUUCGAGGCUGAACAGUGAAUCUUAGAAAGCUUGUUUUUCACUUGUCCUGAAACCUUCCCCUCCUGCCUCCCCCCUUUCAUGCCAAUAAAAGGUAACCAGAGACAGCUGGGGGCUCGCUCUCUGCCUCCUUUGAAUGGGAGCGUCUUCUCAAUGCCUCUUUCAUGUACCUGCAGAGACCCCGCUCCGCUCCCUGCAGCGACCGAGGUUCUCAGAGGUUGAAUAGGUUUUCAUUGCCCGCAUUUCUGGUCUGAAGCAGACUGAGAGAAAUGAGUGCUAAGUAAACGCGGUGGCAGUCGUGCCCGUGUCAGCAUUCCUGCCCGCCACCACUUGUGCCGGCAGCGUAGCACCGUCGGCAUGGGCUUCUGCACAGCCAGCUGCGGGGUGUUUCAUGUGCCAGCAGCUGAGGAGGGGUGCGAAGCAAAGCAAGGAGUGGAGAGUCUAAUUUUUAUGAGGCUGUUUAUUCUUUCUGUAACAAGUGUGUGGUGCCCGACUGAUGUUGAAUGGGAAUUUAAUGCAGUGAUAAAGUAAAACUAUAAACUUA